UCAACUGGGAAGGAAGAGGAAAAGCCUCUGUGCAGAGGAUAGGAACAGUGUGUGGGGAUCCAGGCAAACUUCUGGAGUCUCUUCUUGCUGGUAGUACCUUAAUAUGACUACACCAUUAUUCCUGGGGGACAAGGGCAGUGAGAGGCUGGAGCAGAGGGACUUUGCACUAUAGUGCCCAGACUUUGGACCAGAGAAGAAUUAAUUUAAUCCCCAGUUUGCAAUUGUAAUCUUCCUAACUCCACCUGUCGCCCUGCAGUAGACCCACAAGUCUACUAUGGCCUUCUUAGUAGAUGUAAUCCACCUGAGGAGAUCCAAACCAUAGCAUGAGAAACAAUGAUCUUCAUCAGUUCCUCAAAUUCAGAGAAUCAGGAAUUCACGACUGGAAAGGACUGGAGUUUCUUUGAUUUCAGUGAGGCUGAUAAUAUAAGACUCAGGAAAGUUCUCUUCGAACUACACCACUGUGUACUUAAAGCCUAUCUAAACAAAGAUUGAAGGUUUAAGAGAAAAUCCAGGUAAAGGUAAGGUAAAUAGCACAAUCCGGCUCUCCUAACAACAAUACAGGUCCACCACUCCUGGGCUACAAACAAUUAAACCUCUUGUGCCUAAAUUGGUCUCAAAUCAACAAGGUAUCUUAAUGUCCUGGAAAACUUAGUUGAUAAAUGUGCUGAGAAGUUUGAGCCUGUGUUAGGUUUGUUUUAUACAAGCUAAACUGUGUGUGGCUACAUUUUGCAAGGGAAGACUAGUCCCAUAUGCCAAAAAAGCAGCUGUUGAAAAUAAGAGGGACUAGUUAGGCAAUUGUUCUCUCCAAAAUGGUCAAAGUGGGCAGCAUCCAUCAUUGAACAGAGUGUUCUUCAAUAGAAUGUCGUG